rnacentral:rRNA from 1 species
GUUAAAAGGCUCGUAGUUGGAUUUCUGUUGAGGUCGGGCGGUGUACACCUCGUGUAUUAUUUGCUUCGGUCUCGGCAUCCUCUUGGGGAACGUACGGACCUUCAUUGGACUGUGCGAGAUUCAGACUUUUACUUUGAGGAAAUUAGAGUGUUCACGGCAGGCAAGUGCUUUGAAUACAUUAGCAUGGAAUAAUAAUAUAGGACCUUCGUUCUAUUUUGUUGGUUUCUAGAACUUAGGUAAUGAUUAAUAGGGACAAUUGGGGGCAUUCGUAUUAACGCGUCAGAGGUGGAAUUCUUGGAUUGCGUUACGACGAACUACUGCGAAAGCAUUUGCCAAAGAUGUUUUCAUUGAUCAAGAACGAAAGUAUGGGGAUCGAAGACGCUUAGAUACCGUCGUAGUCUAUACCAUAAACUAUGCCAACUAGGGAUUGGACGGGUUAUCCUAUGUGGCUCGUUCAGCACCUUAUGAGAAAUCAAAGUUUUUGGGUUCCGGGGGGAGUAUGGUCGCAAGGCUGAAACUUAAAGGAAUUGACGGAA